rnacentral:snRNA from 1 species
GUGCUCUCUUCAGCACAUAUACUAAAAUUAGAAUGCUAGAAAUGAGCAGGGCCCCUGUACAAGGAUGGCACACAAAUUCAUGAAGCAUUCCAUAUUUUU